GUGAGGAAUAUUGGUCAAUGGGCGAGAGCCUGAACCAGCCAAGUCGCGUGAAGGAAGAAGGAUCUAUGGUUCGUAAACUUCUUUUGCAGGGGAAUAAAGUGCAGGACGUGUCCUGUUUUGUAUGUACCCUGAGAAUAAGGAUCGGCUAACUCCGUGCCAGCAGCCGCGGUAAUACAGAGGUCUCAAGCGUUGUUCGGAAUUAUUGGGCGUAAAGGGCGCGUAGGCGGGAAGGUGUGUCGACCUGUAAAUCUAUCGUUUCAAGCGGUAGGCUUGGGUUGAAACUGCCUUUCUAGAGGAUUUCAGGGGAGUUUGGAAUUUACGGUGUAGCAGUGAAAUGCGUGGAUAUCGUAAGGAAGGCUUGUGGCGAAGGCGAAACUCUGGGGAAUACCUGACGCUGAGGCGCGAAGGCUAGGUUAGCAAACGGGAUUAGAAACCCCAGUAGUCC
rnacentral:rRNA from 1 species